GACGUAGGAUGCAAGCGUUGUCCGGAUUUAUUGGGCGUAAAGAGUUCGUAGGUGGUUUGUUAAGUCUGAUGUUAAAGACUGGGGCUCAACCUCGGAAAUGCAUUGGAUACUGGCAGACUUGAGUGUGGUAGAGGCAAUCGGAAUUCCAGGUGUAGCGGUGAAAUGCGCAGAUAUCGGGAAGAACACCCGUGGCGAAGGCGGCUCUCUGGGACGGUACUGACGCUGAGACGCGAAAGCGUGGGGAGCGAACAGG
rnacentral:rRNA from 1 species